GGUAAGAUGGCUGAGUUUAAGUGGCGGAUUGUAAAUCCGUUUACAGAGGGUAGUUCCUCUUCUUAUCA